UGGGGAAUUUUGGACAAUGGACGCAAGUCUGAUCCAGCCAUGCCGCGUGCGGGAAGAAGGCCUUCGGGUUGUAAACCGCUUUUGUCAGGGAAGAAACGAGUUUCUCUAAUACAGAGACUUAAUGACGGUACCUGAAGAAUAAGCACCGGCUAACUACGUGCCAGCAGCCGCGGUAAUACGUAGGGUGCAAGCGUUAAUCGGAAUUACUGGGCGUAAAGCGUGCGCAGGCGGUUAUGUAAGACAGAUGUGAAAUCCCCGGGCUCAACCUGGGAACUGCGUUUGUGACUGCAUAACUAGAGUACGGCAGAGGGAGGUGGAAUUCCGCGUGUAGCAGUGAAAUGCGUAGAUAUGCGGAGGAAUACCAAUUGCGAAGGCAGGUUACUACUAAUGGAUUGACGCUGAUGGACGAAAGCGUGGGGAGCGAACA
rnacentral:rRNA from 1 species